UAGGGAAUCUUCCGCAAUGGGCGAAAGCCUGACGGAGCAACGCCGCGUGAGUGAAGAAGGAUUUCGGUUCGUAAAGCUCUGUUGUUAGGGAAGAAUGAUUGUGUAGUAACUAUACACAGUAGAGACGGUACCUAACCAGAAAGCCACGGCUAACUACGUGCCAGCAGCCGCGGUAAUACGUAGGUGGCAAGCGUUGUCCGGAAUUAUUGGGCGUAAAGCGCGCGCAGGUGGUUUAAUAAGUCUGAUGUGAAAGCCCACGGCUCAACCGUGGAGGGUCAUUGGAAACUGUUAAGCUUGAGUGCAGGAGAGAAAAGUGGAAUUCCUAGUGUAGCGGUGAAAUGCGUAGAGAUUAGGAGGAACACCAGUGGCGAAGGCGGCUUUUUGGCCUGUAACUGACACUGAGGCGCGAAAGCGUGGGGAGCAAACAGGAUUAGAUACCCUGGUAGUCCACGCCGUAAACGAUGAGUGCUAAGUGUUGGUCUCAUAAGAGAUCAGUGCUGCAGCUAACGCAUUAAGCACUCCGCCUGGGGAGUACGACCGCAAGGUUG
rnacentral:rRNA from 1 species